rnacentral:lncRNA from 1 species
GCCUUGGACCAGGUGGGAUAGGAGCAGGGGUUCUUGCUGGGAAGGCUGGGUACCCCACUGGGACAGGUGUUGGAGCACAGGCGGCAGCAGCAAAAGCGGCAGCUAAAUAUGGAGCCGGUGUCCUGCCUGGGGCUGGCGGCAUCCCAGGGGUGGGCGGCGUGGUGCCCGGUGUCGGUGUUGUUCCAGGAGCUGGAGUGGGAGGCCCGGCAGCGGCAGCAGCUGCAGCGAAGGCAGCAGCGAAAGCAGGAGCCUAUGGUGCAGGGGUGCUGCCCGGGGUCGGAGGUGUCCCAGGUCUUGUGCCUGGUGUCGGCGGUGUGCCUGGCUUGGUUCCUGGUGUCGGAGGUGUCCCUGGGGUGGCAGGAGUUGGGACACCAGCAGGAGCAGCAGCAGCAGCCAAGGCAGCUAAGUAUGGAGCUGGCGUUCCCGGUGUUGGCGUUCCCGGCGUUGGCGUUCCUGGCGUUGGCAUUGGAGGCGUGCCUGGUGUGCCUGGUGUGCCUGGUGUACCUGGUGUGCCUGGUGUACCUGGUGUGCCUGGUGUUCCUGGUGUGGCUGGUGUUCCUGGUGUGGUACCUGGCGUUGGAGGUGAGCAGAUGGGCUGGCAUGAGGGGACAACAUGGUGCCAGCUUCGCCAGUUCCCCUGACACCCUCUCUUCUGUUCCUGCAGUGGGUGGCCCAGCAGCUGCUGCUGCAGCAAAGGCUGCAGCAAAAGCAGCCGCAUUUGGAGCAGGGCGUGUGCCUGGGGUUGGAGUACCUGGGGUCGGUGUUCCCGGAGUUGGCGUACCCGGUCUGGUGCCUGGAGCUGGCCCAGCUGCUGCUGCUAAAGCAGCUGCCAAAGCUGCCAAGUACGCAGGAGCAGGUGGCUUGGCACCUGGCGUGGGAGGUCUGGCACCUGGCAUAGGAGGUCUGGCACCUGGUGUGGGAGGCCUUGCUCCUGGUGUAGGUGGCCUUGCUCCUGGUGUAGGUGGCCUGGCCCCUGGCGUUGGAGGUGUUCCAGGUGUUGGAGGUCCAGCAGCAGCCGCAAAAGCAGCAGCUAAGGCAGCCAAAUACGGUGCUGGUGUUGGAGGGGUGCCGGGUGCUGUGCCCGGUGCUCCUGGUGUGCCAGGAGUGACACCUGGCAUCGGUGGUGUGCCCGGCUUAGUGCCAGGCGUAGGGGUGCCCGGUGCCGGCGUUCUCCCCGGAGCAGGCAUCCCUCAGGUCGGGGUGCAGCCUGGUGCUAAGCCUCCCAAAUUCGGUGUGCCCGGGGCUGGGGUCCCAGGGGUCGGUGGCAUCCCAGGUGGCCUCGGAGUUGGUGGCCUUGGAGUUGGUGGCCUCGGUGCUGGUGGGGUUGGUGGCCAGCUGGGAUUUGGCGGUGAGUGCACUCUGGUCACACGCAUGGGGAUGUUGGGUUGGAGUCCCCUCAAAAGGCACUUGUCCCCACGCUGCCCCCCGCCCCACUCAUCUCUCUGCCUUGUCCCCACAGGGAAGCCCCCCAAGACCUACGGAGGAGCCCUGGGGGCCCUGGGCUUUAGAGGUGAGCGCUGUUUGGCUUUUCCCCACCCCUCCUCCGAGCACCUUUUUGGGGCACAGCUGGGGGGCUGAUCCACUCUCCCCCCUCCAUCCCCAGGUGGAAUUGGCUGUGCACAAGGGAAAUACUGCGGGAGGAAGCGGAAGUAACCGCCCACCGUCACCGAUGACCUCAUGAACUUUGGUGCUACUGCAUGGUCCAGAAUGUAAAUCCCCACCAAGCUGAGACCCCCCUGGCCCCACGCUCCCGGCAGGGACCCCACGGCAGCGUCAGGGGCCGCCCCCCCACCUCGGGAACCCCC